UACGUAGGUGACAAGCGUUGUCCGGAUUUACUGGGCGUAAAGAGCGCGCAGGCGGUCGUUCAAGUCGAGUGUGAAGGCCCCGGCUCAACUGGGGAGGGUCACUCGAUACUGAUCGACUCGAAGGCAGGAGAGGGAAGUGGAAUUCCCGGUGUAGUGGUGGAAAUGCGUAGAUAUCGGGAGGAACACCAGUGGCGAAGGCAGCUCGCUGGGACGUUACUGACACUGAGGCGCGAAAGCGUGGGGAGCGAACAGG
rnacentral:rRNA from 1 species